rnacentral:rRNA from 1 species
AUACGGAGGAUCCGAGCGUUAUCCGGAUUUAUUGGGUUUAAAGGGUGCGCAGGCGGGAGAUUAAGUCGGCGGUGAGAUUUUUGAGCUCAACUGUAAAAGUGCCUUCGAGACCGGUUUUCUUGCGGGUGGGUGAAGUAGGGGGAAUUUGUGGUGGAGCGGUGGAAUGCUUAGAUAUCACGAGGAACUCCGAUUGCGCAGGCAGCUUACUAAACCACUACUGACGCUCAGGCACGAAGGCGGGGGGAUCAAACAGGAUUAGAUACCCUGGUAGUCCACGCAGUAAACGAUGAUUACUGGCUGUUUGCGAUACAAUGUAAGCGGCUGAGCGAAAGCGUUAAGUAAUCCACCUGGGGAGUACGUUCGCAAGAAUGAAACUCAAAUGAAUUGACGGGG